rnacentral:rRNA from 1 species
GACGAACGCUGGCGGCGUGCUUAACACAUGCAAGUCGAACGGAAAGGCCCUGCUUUUGUGGGGUGCUCGAGUGGCGAACGGGUGAGUAACACGUGAGUGACCUGCCCUUGACUUUGGGAUAACUUCAGGAAACUGGGGCUAAUACCGGAUAGGAGCUCCUGCUGCAUGGUGGGGGUUGGAAAGUUUCGGCGGUUGGGGAUGGACUCGCGGCUUAUCAGCUUGUUGGUGGGGUAGUGGCUUACCAAGGCUUUGACGGGUAGCCGGCCUGAGAGGGUGACCGGCCACAUUGGGACUGAGAUACGGCCCAGACGCCUACGGGAGGCAGCAGUGGGGAAUAUUGCACAAUGGGCGGAAGCCUGAUGCAGCAACGCCGCGUGCGGGAUGACGGCCUUCGGGUUGUAAACCGCUUUCGCCUGUGACGAAGCGUGAGUGACGGUAAUGGGUAAAGAAGCACCGGCUAACUACGUG